UGGGGAAUAUUGCGCAAUGGGCGAAAGCCUGACGCAGCAACGCCGUGUGAGGGAUGAAGGCUUUCGGGUUGUAAACCUCUGUCGGAAGGGAAGAACGGGUGAGGGUCUAAUAGGCCUUCAUUUUGACGGUACCUUUAGAGGAAGCACCGGCUAACACCGUGCCAGCAGCCGCGGUAAUACGGAGGGUGCAAGCGUUAUUCGGAAUUACUGGGCGUAAAGCGCACGUAGGCCGCUUUGUAAGUCAGGGGUGAAAUCCCACGGCUCAACCGUGGAACUGCCCUUGAAACUGCAGAGCUUGAAUCCUGGAGAGGGUGGCGGAAUUCCUGGUGUAGGAGUGAAAUCCGUAGAUAUCAGGAGGAACACCGGUGGCGAAGGCGGCCACCUGGACAGGCAUUGACGCUGAGGUGCGAAAGUGUGGGGAGCAAACAG
rnacentral:rRNA from 1 species